rnacentral:lncRNA from 1 species
UUGGACAUAAAAACAUUUAUAUACCACCUGUUUAACAUCAGUUAAUGGAAUGGUAAACUUGUUUUGCUUAUUUUAAUCCAAUUGCACAUUUUGCUAAUUUGAAAAAUAUGGAAGUGGAGGUGUGUGUUUCUGGUCGAAAUGGGCUUUUGGACAGGCUGUACAUGACUAAAACUUCUGCUGUUUGAAGUCUGCACAUGAAAUGCUAACCUUGUUUUGC